GACGAACCGUGCGAACGUUAUUCGGAAUCACUGGGCUUAAAGCGCGUGUAGGCGGGACGGCACGUCUGUCGCUGAAAUCCCCCGGCUUAACCGGGGAACUGGCGUAGAUACGACCGUCCUGGAGGGGCGUAGGGGGACCUGGAACUUCCGGUGGAGCGGUGAAAUGCGUUGAGAUCGGAAGGAACGCCCGUGGCGAAAGCGAGGUCCUGGACGCCUACUGACGCUGAGACGCGAAAGCCAGGGGAGAGCGAACGGG
rnacentral:rRNA from 1 species